rfam:Phormidesmis priestleyi Ana ITZX_scaf_46, whole genome shotgun sequence.
AACCAAGGCCAUGUAGGGAAAGGCUGGUGAAAAUCCAGCGCUGUGCCGCAGCUGUCAAAGUCAGAAUACCUACAUUGUU